GGGGAUGGGCGCAGAGGGGAGGGUCCCGACAGGGGUUCCCGGUGUCGGGGGGAGCCGGCCGGGCGGGUAGUCCCGAUGCCGCGGGGAUGGGAGCUCUGGGGGGGGGGACACCGGAGCCAAGCCGGCAAGUAGCCCCGACACUGCAGAGCUGGGGGCUUUCCGGAGGGUCGAGCCGAGGGUUUCCCGGGGGCAGCGGAGCCCGGCGGGCGGGUCGCCCCGAUGCUGCGGGGCUGGGAGCUUUGGGGACGGUCGCAGCGGGGGCUCCCCAGGACACCGGAGCCGGUGCUGCGGGGCUGGGAGCUUUGGGGACGGCCGGGGCUGGUGCUUCGGGGGACACCGGAGCCGGUGCUGCGGGGCUGGGAGCUUUGGGGACUGUUGGGGCGAGGGCUCCGGGCGGUACCGCAGCCGGUAUCGCCGUGUGGGAGCUUUGGGGACGGCCAGGAAGGGGGCUCCGGGGGACACCGGUGCCGGUGCCGCGGGGCUGGGAGUUCUGGGGACGACCGGGGCGGGAGCUUUGGGGGACAUCGGUGCCGGUGCCGCGGGGCUGGGAGCUUUGGGGACGGUCGGGCUGGGAGCUUCGGGGGACACCUGAGCCGGUGCCGCGGGGCUGGAAGCUCUGGGGCGGUCGGGGCUGGUGCCUCGGGGGACAUCGGAGCCGGUGCCGCGGGCUGGGAGCUUUGGGGACGGCCAGGAAGGGGGCUCCGGGGGACACCGGAGCCGGUGCCGCGGGGCUGGGAGCUCUGGGGACGGUCGGGGCGGGAGCUCCGGGGGCAGCGGCGGCGGCGGGGCUGCGCGGUGUCGCGGCGGGCGGCCGGUACCUAUGGUGGUGAUGACGGUGAUGGCGAAGUAGAAGGAGCCGGCGAAUUUCCACUGCACGCCGGCCUUGUGCGGCUUGAGCUUGAGCACGACCCACUCGAGCUCGCGGUAGCUCUCGGCGCUGAGGUUGUACUUGCUCUUGAGCUCCAGGCGCUUCGCCUCCAGCCGCCGCCGCUCCGCCGUCUCCUCCUCGGACUCGAGCGCGUCGAAGACGGCGGCGCCCACCAGCAGGUANNNNNN
rnacentral:lncRNA from 1 species